CUGCUACUUGCGGCACAAAAACAAGAUCGUGUGAUCGUGUGUUCCAACGAGUUCGCGUGAGUUUGUGUGUUUCAGGUUCUUGAGCUCGCCGGCGACGCGGUCCCGUCGUUACUCUGGCGAUCUCUGCAAAUAAGAUGCACUGGUAGUAAAUUUUAGAGUUUGUGAACGAGCAACCUUCAAUAUCCCAUCGGAGUGGCCAGAGAAGUGUAGUUCUUGAGGUAAACGAUCGAUGACACUUCACCAUUCGAGCUGCAACCUGCCUCUGGUUGAUCUCCUUGUGAUUCCACGUCCUGCCUCCUGCGAUGGUUGGAGUGCUCUUUCAGUAGUCUGAAGAUUGUGCAGAAGAAAAUGGGAAUCGCAAUUGACGGGAAGCUGAGCAUAAUUGCUAGCACAUGAGCCUUCUUUCCUGCAUUCCUCUUACCCCAGCUAUAAUGCUAUGCACGACGGCCGUCCCCAGAUGGCCAGAUGUAUAUGCUAC
rnacentral:lncRNA from 1 species